AGAGUUUGAUCCUGGCUCAGAAUCAACGCUGGCGGCGUGCCUAACACAUGCAAGUCGAACGCGAAAGUCCCGCAAGGGACGAGUAGAGUGGCAAACGGGUGAGUAACGCGUGGGUGACCUGCCUUCGAGCGGGGGAUAACGUUCCGAAAGGGACGCUAAUACCGCAUAACAUCCUGCCUUUGAAGAGGUGGAGAUCAAAGCCGGGGAAUCGCAAGACCCGGCACUUGAAGAGGGGCCCGCGUCUGAUUAGCUAGUUGGUGAGGUAACGGCUCACCAAGGGCCACGAAUCAGUAUUCGGGCCUGAAGAAGGGCCGACGGACACACUGGGAACUGAGACACGGCCCAGACUCCUACGGGAGGCAGCAGUGGGGAAUUGUUCGCAAUGGGCGCAAGCCUGACGACGCAACGCCGCGUGGAGGAUGAAGAUUUUCGGAUCGUAA
rnacentral:rRNA from 1 species